GACGAACGCUAGCGGCAGGCCUAAUACAUGCAAGUCGAACGGUAAGGUCCCUUCGGGGAUACACGAGUGGCGCACGGGUGCGUAACACGUAUGCAACCUACCUAUCAGAGGGGAAUAGCCGCGGGAAACUGCGAAUAAUACCCCAUAUUCUCAUAAUAUCGCCUGGUAUAAUGAGGAAAGCUCCGGCGCUGAUAGAUGGGCAUGCGUCCCAUUAGCUAGUUGGUAAGGUAACGGCUUACCAAGGCUUCGAUGGGUAGCUGGUCUGAGAGGAUGAUCAGCCACACGGGCACUGAGACACGGGCCCGACUCCUACGGGAGGCAGCAGUAAGGAAUAUUGGACAAUGGGGGCAACCCUGAUCCAGCCAUGCCGCGUGGAGGAAGACGGUUCUCUGAAUUGUAAACUCCUUUUAUGUGGGGAUAAUAAUGUACUAUAGGUACAGAUGCAGGUACCACAUGAAUAAGCACCGGCUAACUACG
rnacentral:rRNA from 1 species